UACAGAGGUCCCAAGCGUUGUUCGGAAUUACUGGGCGUAAAGGGCUCGUAGGUGGCCAACUAAGUCAGACGUGAAAUCCCUCGGCUUAACCGGGGAACUGCGUCUGAUACUGGAUGGCUUGAGUUCGGGAGAGGGAUGCGGAAUUCCAGGUGUAGCGGUGAAAUGCGUAGAUAUCUGGAGGAACACCGGUGGCGAAGGCGGCAUCCUGGACCGACACUGACGCUGAGGAGCGAAAGCCAGGGGAGCAAACGGG
rnacentral:rRNA from 1 species